GAUGAACGCUAGCGACCCGUUUAAGGCAUGCAAGUCGAGGGGCAGCAUGAACUUAGCUUCGCUAGUUUGAUGGCGACCGGCGCACGGGUGAGUAACGCGUAUGCAACUUACCUAUCAGAGGAGAAUAGCUCAUCGAAAGAUGAAUUAAUGCUCCAUAAAACAGGGGUCCCGCAUGGGAAUAUUUGUUAAAGAUUCAUCGCUGAUAGAUAGGCAUGCGUUCCAUUAGGCAGUUGGCGGGGUAACGGCCCACCAAACCGACGAUGGAUAGGGGUUCUGAGAGGAAGGUCCCCCACAUUGGUACUGAGACACGGACCAAACUCCUACGGGAGGCAGCAGUGAGGAAUAUUGGUCAAUGGCCGAGAGGCUGAACCAGCCAAGUCGCGUGAAGGAUGAAGGAUCUAUGGUUUGUAAACUUCUUUUAUACGGGAAUAAAGUGAGUCACGUGUGAUUUUUUGUAUGUACCGUAUGAAUAAGCAUCGGCUAACUCCGUGCCAGCAGCCGCGGUAAUACGGAGGAUGCGAGCGUUAUCCGGAUUUAUUGGGUUUAAAGGGUGCGUAGGUGGUCUUUUAAGUCAGCGGUGAAAGUUUGUGGCUCAACCAUAAAAUUGCCAUUGAAACUGGGAGACUUGAGUAUGUUUGAGGUAGGCGGAAUGCGUGGUGUAGCGGUGAAAUGCAUAGAUAUCACGCAGAACUCCGAUUGCGAAGGCAGCUUGCCAAGCCAUAACUGACACUGAAGCACGAAAGC
rnacentral:rRNA from 1 species